GCAGUUGUGGCCUAGUGGGUCAGGUUAUUGACUGGAGAUCAAAAGGUCACUGGUUCGAUUCCCAGCCCCACUGGG